GACGAACGCUGGCGGCGUGCUUAACACAUGCAAGUCGAGCGGUAAGGCCCUUCGGGGUACACGAGCGGCGAACGGGUGAGUAACACGUGGGUGAUCUGCCUUGCACUCUGGGAUAAGCCUGGGAAACUGGGUCUAAUACCGGAUAUGACCUGCCUCUGCAUGGGGGUUGGUGGAAAGAUUUAUCGGUGCGAGAUGGGCCCGCGGCCUAUCAGCUUGUUGGUGGGGUAAUGGCCUACCAAGGCGACGACGGGUAGCCGGCCUGAGAGGGCGACCGGCCACACUGGGACUGAGACACGGCCCAGACUCCUACGGGAGGCAGCAGUGGGGAAUAUUGCACAAUGGGCGGAAGCCUGAUGCAGCGACGCCGCGUGAGGGAUGACGGCCUUCGGGUUGUAAACCUCUUUCGACAGGGACGAAGCG
rnacentral:rRNA from 1 species